rnacentral:sRNA from 1 species
UGUAUCUGAAGCCUGACGAGGAUGAGAACCUCCGGGGGUAAGAGGUUCGACUCGAGCGAAGCGAGAGAACGUUGCGCCAGCAACGGCCCGCAGGGUGCGCGCCAGCCGACAGCGCCGAGCCCUGUCCGGUUUCAA